rnacentral:rRNA from 1 species
GACAGAGGGGCAAGCGUUGCUCGGAAUUACUGGGCGUAAAGGGCGCGUAGGCUGAAUGGCAAGUCGGUCGUGAAAUCCUUCGGCUCAACCGAAGAACGUCGAUCGAAACUGCCGUUCUUGAGGAUUGCAGAGGAGACUGGAAUUCCCGGUGUAGCGGUGAAAUGUGUAGAGAUCGGGAGGAACACCGGUGGCGAAGGCGGGUCUCUGGGCAAUUCCUGACGCUGAGGCGCGAAAGCGUGGGGAGCAAACGGG